rnacentral:rRNA from 1 species
AGUGAACGCCGGCGGCAGGCCUAACACAUGCAAGUCGAACGGCAGCACAGAGGAGCUUGCUCCUUGGGUGGCGAGUGGCGGACGGGUGAGGAAUACAUCGGAAUCUGCCUAUUUGUGGGGGAUAACGUAGGGAAACUUACGCUAAUACCGCAUACGACCUACGGGUGAAAGCGGAGGACCUUCGGGCUUCGCGCAGAUAGAUGAGCCGAUGUCGGAUUAGCUAGUUGGCGGGGUAAAGGCCCACCAAGGCGACGAUCCGUAGCUGGUCUGGGAGGAAUAUCAGCCACACGGGAACUGAGACACGGUCCAGACUCCUACGGGAGGCAGCAGUGGGGAAUAUUGGACAAUGGGCGCAAGCCUGAUCCAGCCAUGCCGCGUGGGUGAAGAAGGCCUUCGGGUUGUAAAGCCCUUUUGUUGGGAAAGAAAAGCAGUCGGUUAAUACCCGAUUGUUCUGACGGUACCCAAAGAAUAAGCACCGGCUAACUUCGUGCCAGCCGCCGCCGUAA